GCUCCCUUAGUAUAAUGGAUAGUACGCGGGUUUCCUAAACCUACGAUGUCGGUUCGACUCCGGCAGGGAGCA
rnacentral:tRNA from 1 species